rnacentral:rRNA from 1 species
UACGAAGGGGGCUAGCGUUGCUCGGAAUCACUGGGCGUAAAGCGCACGUAGGCGGAUCUUUAAGUCAGGGGUGAAAUCCUGGAGCUCAACUCCAGAACUGCCUUUGAUACUGGAGAUCUCGAGUCCGGAAGAGGUGAGUGGAACUCCGAGUGUAGAGGUGAAAUUCGUAGAUAUUCGGAAGAACACCAGUGGCGAAGGCGGCUCACUGGUCCGGUACUGACGCUGAGGUGCGAAAGCGUGGGGAGCGAACAGG